rnacentral:rRNA from 1 species
AGGGGAACCGGGUUGAAUACCGGGCCGCAGAGGGUGAGGGCCCCGUACCUGAACGCGCAUGGUCUGCCGAUCGCGUCUCCCAAGUAGCACGGGUCCCGUGGAACCCCGUGCGAAUCCGCCCAGACCGUUGGGUAAGCCUGAAUAUUCCUGUCUGACCGAUAGCGAACGAGUACCGUGAGGGAAAGGUGAAAAGUACCCCGGGAGGGGAGUGAAACAGUCUCUGAAACCGUGCGCCUACAAUCCGUCGGAGCCCUUUUGUGGGGUGACGGCGUGCCUAUCGAAAAAUGAGUCUGCGAGUCAGUGGCAUGUGGCGAGCAUAACCCGUGUGGGGUAUGCGUAGCGAAGGCGAGUCUUAAAAGGCGUUUGAGUCGCGUGUCCUGGACCCGAAGCGGGAUGAUCUAGCCCUGAGCAGGUUGAAGCGCGGGUAAGACCGCGUGGAGGACCGAACCCACCUGGGUUGAAAACCGGGGGGAUGACUUGGGGCUAGGGGUGAAAGGCCAAUCAAAUUCCGUGAUAGCUGGUUCUCUCCGAAAUGCAUUUGGGUGCAGCGUCGGGUCAUUACGUCCCGGGGGUAGAGCUACUGGAUGCUUGCGGGCCCGUAUCGGGUACCAACAGCAACCAAACUCCGAAUACCGGUGACGCGUAUCCCGGCAGUGAGUCGGCGGGGGAUAAGCUUCGUCGUCGAAAGGGAAACAGCCCAGACCGUCGUCUAAGGUCCCGAAGCGUGUGCUAAGUGGGAAAGGAUGUGGAGUCGCAUAGACAGCCAGGAGGUUGGCUCAGAAGCAGCCACCCUUGAAAGAGUGCGUAACAGCUCACUGGUCUAGUGGUUCCGCGCCGACAAUGUAGCGGGGCUCAAGCACACCACCGAAGACGCGGCAGUAUUUUGUACUGGGUAGGAGAGCGUCCCAUGAGGGGCGAAGCGGCCGUGUGAACGCGCCGUGGACUUCAUGGGAGUGAGAAUGCAGACAUGAGUAGCGAGAGACGGGUGAAGAUCCCGUCCGCUGGAUGACCAAGGGUUCCAGGGCCACGUUCAUCGUCCCUGGGUGAGUCGGGUCCUAAGGCGAGGCCGACAGGCGUAGUCGAAUGGAUGAACGGGUCGAUAUUCCCGUACCGGCUUUCAGCCGCCAAAACCGAGGCUUGGAGUACUAACCUCCGGGUCCGGGCUUACUGCUCCUUCGGGGGCGGGAUGCCCUGGCCUGUUGGGACCGAUCCUUGUAGUAGGUCAGCGCAGGAGUGACGCAGAAGGGUAGCCGGCCGCGGAGGUGGUCUUCCGUGGUCAAGCACGCAGGGCGUGGGACAGGCAAAUCCGUCCCGCAUGGGUCCGAGGUGCGAUGAUGGGGGCCUUAUGGCCCGAUAUCCGGUGAUCCCGGCUGCCGAGAAAAGCUUCGGCGUCAGGCUCGAAGCCGCCCGUACCCCAAACCGACACUGGUGGUCAGGUAGAGAAUACCAAAGCGAUCGAGCGAAUCCUGGUCAAGGAACUCGGCAAAUCACUCCCGUUCCUUCGGUUUAAGGGAGACCCCCGAUGGUGAACACGCUUGCUGUGGGAGCUUUUGGGGGUGGCACAGACCAGGGGGUAGCGACUGUUUACCAAAAACACAGGUGCAUGCGAAGGCGCAAGCCGCUGUAUAUGCACUGACGCCUGCCCGGUGCCGGAAGGUUAAGAGGAUCCGUCAGCCUUCGGGUGAAGCGGUGAAUUCAAGCCCCGGUAAACGGCGGUGGUAACUAUAACCAUCCUAAGGUAGCGAAAUUCCUUGUCGGGUAAGUUCCGACCUGCACGAAUGGCGUAACGACUUCCCCACUGUCUCGACCAGGAGCUCGGCGAAAUUGCAGUACGAGUAAAGAUGCUCGUUAAGCGCAGAAGGACGAAAAGACCCCGGGACCUUUACUAUACCUUGGUAUUGGCAUUCGGUGUGGAUUGUGUAGCAUAGGCGGGAGGCCGAGAGGCGCGGUCGCCAGAUCGCGCGGAGCCGUAAGGUGAAAUACCGCUCUGUUCGCAUUGGAUGUCUAACCUCGAACAGUCAUCCUGUUCAGGGACAGUGCCUGGCGGGUAGUUUAACUGGGGCGGUUGCCUCCCAAAGAGUAACGGAGGCGCCCAAAGGUCCGCUCAGCCCGGUUGGCAAUCGGGUGGCGAGUGCAAGUGCACAAGCGGGCUUGACUGCGAGGACGACGGUCCGAGCAGGGACGAAAGUCGGGACUAGUGAUCCGGUGCCGGUGUACGGACGCGGCAUCGCUCAACGGAUAAAAGGUACUCCGGGGAUAACAGGCU